rnacentral:rRNA from 1 species
GAUAGUGGCGCACGGGUGCGUAACACGUGGGAAUCUGCCCUUGGGUUCGGAAUAACAGCGGGAAACUGCUGCUAAUACCGGAUGAUGACGUAAGUCCAAAGAUUUAUCGCCCAGGGAUGAGCCCGCGUAGGAUUAGCUAGUUGGUGAGGUAAAGGCUCACCAAGGCGACGAUCCUUAGCUGGUCUGAGAGGAUGAUCAGCCACACUGGGACUGAGACACGGCCCAGACUCCUACGGGAGGCAGCAGUAGGGAAUAUUGGACAAUGGGGGCAACCCUGAUCCAGCAAUGCCGCGUGAGUGAUGAAGGCCUUAGGGUUGUAAAGCUCUUUCAGCUGGGAAGAUAAUGACGGUACCAGCAGAAGAAGCCCCGGCUAACUCCGUGCCAGCAGCCGCGGUAAUACGGAGGGGGCUAGCGUUGUUCGGAAUUACUGGGCGUAAAGCGCACGUAGGCGG